GAUGAACGCUGGCGGCGUGCCUAAUACAUGCAAGUCGAGCGAACAGACGAGGAGCUUGCUCCUCUGACGUUAGCGGCGGACGGGUGAGUAACACGUGGAUAACCUACCUAUAAGACUGGGAUAACUUCGGGAAACCGGAGCUAAUACCGGAUAAUAUAUUGAACCGCAUGGUUCAAUAGUGAAAGACGGUUUUGCUGUCACUUAUAGAUGUAUCCGCGCCGCAUUAGCUAGUCGGUAAGGUAACGGCUUACCAAGGCAACGAUGCGUAGCCGACCUGAGAGGGUGAUCGGCCACACUGGAACUGAGCCACGCUCCAGACUCCUACGGGAGGCAGCAGUAGGGAAUCUUCCGCAAUAGGCGAAAGCCUGACGGAGCAACGCCGCGUGAGUGAUGAAGGUCUUCGGAUCGUAAAACUCUGUUAUUCGGGAAGAACAAAUGUGUAAGUAACUAUGCACGUCUUGACGGUACCUAAUCAGAAAGCCACGGCUAACUACGUG
rnacentral:rRNA from 1 species